ACGGAAGGCAGCAGUGGGGAAUAUUGCACAAUGGGCGAAAGCCUGAUGCAGCGACGCCGCGUGAGUGAAGAAGUAUCUCGGUAUGUAAAGCUCUAUCAGCAGGGAAGAAAAUGACGGUACCUGACUAAGAAGCCCCGGCUAACUACGUGCCAGCAGCCGCGGUAAUACGUAGGGGGCAAGCGUUAUCCGGAUUUACUGGGUGUAAAGGGAGCGUAGACGGUUUGGCAAGUCUGAAGUGAAAUGCGGGGGCUCAACUCCUGAACUGCUUUGGAAACUGUCGAACUAGAGUGCAGGAGAGGUAAGUGGAAUUCCUAGUGUAGCGGUGAAAUGCGUAGAUAUUAGGAGGAACACCAGUGGCAAAGGCGGCUUACUGGACUGUAACUGACGUUGAGGCUCGAAAGCGUGGGGAGCAAACAGGAUUAGAUACCCUGGUA
rnacentral:rRNA from 1 species